GACGAACGCUGGCGGCGUGCUUAACACAUGCAAGUCGAACGGAAAGGCCCUGCUUUUGUGGGGUGCUCGAGUGGCGAACGGGUGAGUAACACGUGAGUAACCUGCCCUUGACUUUGGGAUAACUUCAGGAAACUGGGGCUAAUACCGGAUAGGAGCUCCUGCUGCAUGGUGGGGGUUGGAAAGUUUCGGCGGUUGGGGAUGGACUCGCGGCUUAUCAGCUUGUUGGUGGGGUAGUGGCUUACCAAGGCUUUGACGGGUAGCCGGCCUGAGAGGGUGACCGGCCACAUUGGGACUGAGAUACGGCCCAGACUCCUACGGGAGGCAGAAGGGGGGAAUAUUGCACAAUGGGCGGAAGCCUGAUGCAGCAACGCCGCGUGCGGGAUGACGGCCUUCGGGUUGUAAACCGCGUUCGCCUGUGACGAAGCGUGAGUGACGGUAAUGGGUAAAGAAGCACCGGCUAACUACGUG
rnacentral:rRNA from 1 species